AUUAGUUUUUAAAAAUGCUAAUCCAGAUUUAUUUAAAUUUGAAUGACAAACAUACAAACAAGUUGUCGAACCUAAUUAUAUGCUAUAUGAAUUUUUUUUUCUCAGAUUAGCAGUUGUUAGAUUUUAAACACAAUCAAAACGGAGAUACACCUUAGAUUGUUGGGGAUUACCGUACUGAAAAUCUGAUUGUGAUUCAAAUCUAACUAGUUUUAUAAUGAAAUUAAAUAAAUCAACUUACAGAUAAAUGCUAAAAUUUAAAUAAAAAUUUUGAUUGAUCCGGAAGCGUGUAAGACAUUGUCCUAAGGCGUAUUUCCGUAUUUUGUGCAGGAUUAAUCGGAAACACCGUCCCAAAGUACAACAAGAAUUUCUCCUCUUACGAGCACGAAUGGAAAAGGUUGACGGAGACUCUUUCAACACCCGAUGAUAAAAGAAUUAAACAAAAUAAAAUUAAAAUCUAAAUAAACUUUAAAGCUCAUAGAAGGAAAAGAAAAGUAACUAUUGGAAUCAUCCCAACUUUAAAUCUCUUAAAUACAUCCUUUUAAUUAGUGAAGAUGGAAAUCCCUGAGGAUCCGUGCGUACGGAGUAGGCGCCCACGGAGCGCGUAACAUCCGCGCACGUUCGCGGACUUCCGAUCUAAAAGGAUAUUAAUAAAAAUAAUAUAACAAUAAUAAAUAAAAGUAUAUUAAAUUAAUAAGUUAAAUAAUAGUAAUAAUAAUAAUAAUAGAGGAUUUUGAAUUUUUUUCUCCAACAAAUACUCUUAUAACUGUUUCUCGCUCUCUUUUCUUCUAUCGUUCGUCUUUCUCGCCAUUUCUAUUUCUUUCUCCCUUUCUCCUCCCACUUUCUUUCACUUUUCUUUCUCCUCUACUGCCCCCACAUUGACACCGCUCUCCUCUUACCUCACCCAUACCUUCGCCGAUGCCGACUUGGAUAUAGCACAUAUCGCGAAGGUGAGACUGAGGCUGCAGUGGAAGGCAUGUCUAGUGACAUCGAUGGCGACGAGAAUGCCGCAAGAUUUGAGGGCAGUGGGUGUAAAAUUAUAUAAAGCCAUGUUCCGAGUCGAUAUCGCGGUGAAAACUUCGAUGAUUUGAGAUUUCUGGAUGUUGGGUGCUGGAACUUGAAGUUUGAGUACUGAUACUACAGAGUACCUCAGCAACUACUCAAAAUCGGAAGCCUGAAAAACUAUUUUUGUGUUGUGUAUGGGUACGCGACUUAAGUAUCGAUGCUGCCAGUAUAGGUACGCGGAUUGAGCUAGAGUACUGAUUUUCUAUUUUUGUAUUGUGUAUCGGCAUGCG
rnacentral:lncRNA from 1 species